UACGUAGGGUGCAAGCGUUGUCCGGAAUUAUUGGGCGUAAAGAGCUCGUAGGCGGUUUGUUGCGUCGGCUGUGAAAAUCCCGAGGCUCAACCUCGGGUCUGCAGUCGAUACGAGCAAACUAGAGUGUUGCAGGGGGAGACUGGAAUUCCUGGUGUAGCGGUGAAAUGCGCAGAUAUCAGGAGGAACACCGGUGGCGAAGGCGGGUCUCUGGGCAACAACUGACGCUGAGGAGCGAAAGCCGUGGGGGAGCGAACAGG
rnacentral:rRNA from 1 species